rnacentral:misc_RNA from 1 species
AAUCGGAGGACAUGGUAGCCUUGGAGCGGGAGUACGUUCUCGGCUCCUUCUGCGAGCUGCGCAUCAUCACCUCGCUCUCCUCCACACAGCUGUCCAAGGUGACCCUGCGAAAGCCGGUGGAAGACGACGACACGUCAACCGCGGCGCGGGCAGAGGUAUUUGGGACAGAGCUGAUCCCGGGAGUGCCAGUGCACCUGCCGCCCGGUCGCUCCCUUAGCAUCUUCACCUCCACCGGCUGCACCCUGUCGCUGGUGGCACCGCCGACGGUGCUGCAGCGCUGCUAUGCGACGUCGCUCGGGGCGACCUGGGUGCGCUCGUUGCUCGAUUUUCACUCCCACCUGGAGCGAGCACGAGUGGAGGCCCGCGGCCGCGACGACGUCGGACCUCGCGUGCUCUUCGUGAGCGACCGCCACCACUGCGGGGCGAGCACCUAUGUUCGCUGGCUGAGCAACUUUGCCGUGCGCCUCGGCUACCACCCCCUGCUGCUCGAUGGGGUGCUGGACACCCCUGCCUUCGCGUUCCCAGGCAGUAUAGCGCUUUUCCACGCCCAGCACUGCAUGGACAUCGAGGAGGAGAUGAAUCUGACGCCGGCGCUGUAUGCCCAAGUCGGCCAGUCGCGUGUGGCCAACCCACGACUCUACCAGCACUGGGUGCAGCAGCUUCUGCCGAACGGCAUGGAGAAGAUGGCGCGCAGUGAGCGCUGCCGCGUGGGCGGACUGUUCUUUGACUUUGGCGUGGUGGAGCCGCACGCGGUGGAGCAGGCGGAAGCGGCGGCGGCGGCGGUGCCGAGCGUCGACCCAACCGCCUCUGCUUCGCCUGCACCUGCCGCCCUGGGAAGCGGUAAGACGCAGACGAACCCACUCGACACACUCCUGGACACCAUUGUGGCAGCCGACAUCGAUCACGUUUGCGUCGUCGGUAGCUCAUGGCUGCGGUGGAAGCUGGUGCAGCGUGCAUGGGAGCGCUUUGGUGGUGAAGGGUCGAUGAGCAUUGUGCAGGCGAUGCUUGAUCCGCGCUGGAACGUGCCGCCCGAGGUGGACUGCGGAGGUGGGCAGCACUUCAAGGUCUUUCUUUUAGACUCCGUGGAGCUGGUAAACUCGGUGCCGGUGCCGCUAUUGAAUCGCCAGCGGUGGCUGCAGUACUUCUUCGGCACCCCGACAUCGCCAGUGAAGCCGACCCUCAUCACCCUCGAGGCCUCGCAGGUGCGCGUCGCAACCGUCGGUGCGGCAGCGAUCGCCGCCAUGUCGACACUGCUGCCGAUGAUGGACAGCGAGGACGCGGACCGGCAGAAGGCGGAUGUGGCGGCCGUGUCGUUCACUACCCUGCAGGACGUCGCCCUGAAGGACCGAAUCGUCGCAAUCAGCACAGCCACUGAGUACGAGCGCAGCCCUGACGGGGAGCUUCACCGACUCCCUUUCAGUGUGUUCGAGCGCAGAAUCCGGCAUGGUACUGUGCUUGGGUUUGCGCUGGUGGAAUCUGUGACACCGGAGCGGCUCACGCUGCUUGUGAGUGGCUGCCCGCUCGACAAGGAGCUUGGCCUUUGCUUUCUUCUCACGGAGGAAGUGCUGAAGAGCUGAGAGGGCGGAGGGUGAGUAUUUGUGGGAGAACGCCAAACACUUGCAGCACGCGUCUCUGCAUGUGCCUCGGCAUGCUGGACAGGGGAGGGGCGCACGACGCGCCACGCGCCGUAACGGUCGACAUGGGACGACGCUAGCAAGACUGUGCAUGUGUGUGUGCACGUUGCUGCUGUAGGGAGCAGCAAUGGUGUGCCGUAGCGCCAUAAAAACCA